UACAGAGGUCCCAAGCGUUGUUCGGAUUCACUGGGCGUAAAGGGUGCGUAGGUGGUUGGGUAAGUCUGAUGUGAAAUCUCCGGGCUCAACCCGGAAAUGGCAUUGGAUACUAUCUGGCUAGAGGUUUGGAGGGGGGACUGGAAUUCCCGGUGUAGCGGUGAAAUGCGUAGAGAUCGGGAGGAAGGCCGGUGGCGAAGGCGGCGCUCUGGAACGUUUCUGACGCUGAGGCUCGAAAGCGUGGGGAGCAAACAGG
rnacentral:rRNA from 1 species